GGAAGUAAAAGUCGUAACAAGGUCUCCGUAGGUGAACCUGCGGAGGGAUCAUUACAAGUGACCCCGGUUUACCACCGGGAUGUUCAUAACCCUUUGUUGUCCGACUCUGUUGCCUCCGGGGCGACCCUGCCUUCGGGCGGGGGCUCCGGGUGGACACUUCAAACUCUUGCGUAACUUUGCAGUCUGAGUAAACUUAAUUAAUAAAUUAAAACUUUUAACAACGGAUCUCUUGGUUCUGGCAUCGAUGAAGAACGCAGCGAAAUGCGAUAAGUAAUGUGAAUUGCAGAAUUCAGUGAAUCAUCGAAUCUUUGAACGCACAUUGCGCCCCCUGGUAUUCCGGGGGGCAUGCCUGUUCGAGCGUCAUUUCACCACUCAAGCCUCGCUUGGUAUUGGGCAACGCGGUCCGCCGCGUGCCUCAAAUCGACCGGCUGGGUCUUCUGUCCCCUAAGCGUUGUGGAAACUAUUCGCUAAAGGGUGUUCGGGAGGCUACGCCGUAAAACAACCCCAUUUCUAAGGUGACCUCGGAUCAGGUAGGAGCCCGGAU
rnacentral:rRNA from 1 species